CGGCACGCUCCGCCUCUCGGGGGUCAACAGCUACGCCGAAGCGCUCGUAGUUCGACCCGGCCCGGGGCGCUUUCACUAUGGUGGGACCCACGCUCCGCCGCAGGCGACAGCGACAGAGGCGCGCGUGUUAGGGCCCCUUGGUCUGGCUCUCUGUACUAUGUUAAAAACGUCUUGGCGGUACAAAUGUUUUUCCUGCCGAAUAUUUUAAUGACUAAUUCCUUCACCACUGUUAUUUUGACUGAUGGUGUUUUGUCUUGUCUUACAAUUUUGUUAAGUUUUCCUCCCUCGUAUCCAAGGCACCAAAAAAAGCAGGGUUGUUCACAGCAGUUACACCUUAGCUGAUGUGGCCCCUCAAGAGAGGGAACUCAGGCUUGGCCUCAGGCACCACCCCCACCAUGGCGUCAGAUGAGAAGCCAAGCAAACAGAAAAGAACUGCUUGGGUCAAGAGCAUUAAUUAGUGGCAGAGUUACUACUAGAACCCAGCUUUUCAAGAACAUAGAGUAAUGCUCUCCACAGAAUACAAUGCUGGGUGCCUGAAACACAUUUAAGGUAAGAAAAGACUGUACAGAAUAUCAAAAUAGGCCAUGAUUAUAUAAAAUUAGCAUACAAAAUCUCUGUGCAAAUUCGAAAUUUUGUUCCCUUCCAAACAGUAUUUUUGUUAAGUCUCACACAUUGCUGAUAGCACUGUAAUAACUGAACACGUAUCAGGAUCUCUUUGCUGUAACUUUAAAAGUAUGACCAAUUUAAUUCUUGCCCAAUGAGCAUGAAACAACCUACUUAUAGUUCCAAUUCCAAAGAAGUAAAUAAAGCUCCUCUGAGCCUUACUUAAGGUUACUCUCAUACAGCUAAAAUAAAAUCAUGAAUAAAUAAGCAUUUCCUUACAUAAUUAAGUCCAAUUCAUUCAACAGGAUUAAAAAGAUAGACUUUCUGAAACGUAGACCAAUACCUAGCUAUAAAAUAUGACACACACAACCAGUCUGAGAAAUGAACUAGACCAAAGUAUAAUUAGUUUUACUAGUUCAAUUCAAUCACUUGGGAACCACCUCUACAUCAGGAAUGCUGCUAUGUUUUGGAUAAAAGAGUCUUUCCCUUGGAAGAAUUCACACCUGGUGAGGAAGCAGAAACAAGUAAUUUCAAAAAUAUGGUUAAGGCCAAAAGACACAUGACAAGAUGCUCAACAUCAAUCAUCAUCAGGGAAAUAUAAAUCAAAGCCACAACGAGAUAUCACCCCACCUGUCAGAAUGGCUAAAAUCAAAAACACAAGAAACAGUUAAGUGUUGGCAAGGAUGUGGAGAAAAAGGAACCUUCACACAAUGUUGGCAGGAAUGCAAAUUUGUGCAGUCAUUGUGGAAGACAGAAUGGAGGUCCCUCAAAAAAUUAAAAAUACAAUUACCAUAUGUUCCAGUAUUCACACUACUGGGUAUUUACCAAGAAUAUAAACACAUGAAUUCGAAGGGAUAUAUGCACUCCUAUAUAUACUAUAACAUUAUUUACAACAGCAAAAUUAUGGAAGGAACCCAAGUAUCCAAUGAUAGAUCAAAGGAUAAAGAAGAUGUAGUGUAUGUGUAUGUAUACACAUA